AUGGAGGCGGGCAGUGCCGUGGGGGCGCGAUCCACUUGGGCACCAGCCGUCCGGAACCGAGACCGAGGCCAAGACCGCGCCUUGCCCCGCCGUGUCCGCUGCCGCGCCGCCGCCAUGCCGCCGUCCGUCCGCACGGUCUCCAUCCCCUUCGCCGACCUCAAGGAGCGGGGCAGGGACCUGAGCGGCAAGAUCGAGGAGGGGCUCGGCCCCGACGGGCUCGGCAUCAUCUCCAUUUCCGACGUGCCGGAUUUCCCAGCUCUGAGGAGAACGCUCCUGCGCCUGGCGCCGAGAGUUGCAAACCUCCCUGAAGAUGUGAAGAAGGAACUUGAAGACCCGGACAGCAGGUAUAAUUUCGGCUGGAGCCAUGGGAAGGAGAAACUUGAAUCUGGGAAACUAGACACAUUCAAAGGCUCCUAUUAUGCCAACCCAAUUUUGGAUAUCCCUACAACUGAUGAUGUCCUUGUAAGUAGGUACCCAUCAUACUGCCGACGGAAUAUAUGGCCAGCUGAUCAUCUGCCUGAGCUUGAAAUUGCAUUUAAAGCUCUUGGAAAACUAAUGUUGGAAGUUGGCUUGAUGUUGGCUCGUCAUUGUGAUCUCUACGUAAUGCAGCACGGAGUGGGACCAUAUGAUGGUGAAAGUCUUGAGCAGACAAUUUCCCGUUCAAGGUGUCACAAGGGACGUCUGCUGUACUAUUUCCCCAGACAAUUUAGCACACAAAAAGAAGGUGGUGAUUCUGUUUCAUCGUGGUGUGGAUGGCAUACUGACCAUGGGUCUUUAACUGGACUUACAUGUGGCCUGUUUAUGAAAAAUUCAGCGGAGGUCCCCUGUCCUGAUAGUGCAGCUGGGCUGUACAUCCGGACUCGUGAUAACCGAGUUGUUAAAGUUACAUUUGGGGAGGAUGAAUUAGCUUACCAAAUUGGGGAGACUACUGAAAUACUAUCAAGAGGUCGUCUAUGUGCAACUCCACACUGUGUGCAGGCACCCAGCACUGAGAAUGCUUCAAAUGUUGAGCGCUCUACUUUUGCAAUGUUCAUGCAACCAGAUUGGAAUGAGACGCUUAAGUUUCCAAGUGAAAUUCCCUAUCACCAAGAGUUGAUUCCACCAAACGGAGCGCUUACGUUUGGAGAGUACUCAGAGAGACUGGUGAACAAGUAUUACCAGGGGAAGACGUGA
rnacentral:rRNA from 1 species